ACUGAUGUCGACGCGGUUAUCCUUCAUCAAGUUUUCAUUAAAGUUUCUAAUGCUAAGAGUCUUGGAAUCAUUUACCAGUGGAUCGGAAACUCUUCCAUGCCAUAGGACAUUAUCGACUACAAUAAGACCUCCGACUCUUACCAGUUGUAGCAGCAACUCAAAGUACUCUUGAUACAUUUUCUUUUCUGCGUCAACAAAUGCAAAAUCAUAUCUGCAACUUUCACCAUUUUGAAUCAAAGACUUCAAAGUAUCUGCUGCUAGACCAUGUCGUACAUCCACCUUAUGUGACACACCAGCUCGGUCAUAAUAUCUUUUUG
rnacentral:misc_RNA from 1 species